ensembl:lncRNA
CCUUGACAGAACCUUGGUCCAGUAAGAUGAUCUGACCACAGCUGGUCUCCUACACUUAGAACAAGUUGGAAGCAAGAGAACUUGGGGAAGGAAUUUGGUUUCACUAAAAAUAGCUGCAAUAUAGACCCUGUGACUUACCACUCCUCAGAACAGUCUGAUAUGAGCUGAACAGGGUCCACUGGCCCCUGAAAUCACUCUGGACUAUUUGUGUUUCCUGCUUGGAGCCCUUGAAGCCAGGAGGAGCUUAGAGGGUUGGGGGUAUUUUGGCUCACAUGCAGACUCUUGCAAACCUCAGAAACUCACGGUGACGAUAUGACCAAGAAGCUUCCUAUUCCAAGGAGUGUGUGACCAUUGGCACUAAUAACAACAGGGCCCUUUAAGCUUUUGGUCCAUGGUGGGAUAUUACUUGUUCCUCACUACCAGGCCUAUUGUGUCUCCACUUCUAAGGCAGCGGCGGCAGCGGCAGCGGUGGGGAAAAGCGGAUUCCGCCCCGAGCCACACCGAGGAGAGCUUGCGGUCGCGACUUGCCGCCCUAAGCACUCUCCCAAGUCCAGCCCGCUCGGCGAGGACUUCAGUCUCCUGGGCGAACCUUGUCAAGCAAGCUGGGAUCUAUGAGUGGAAAGGUGACCAAGCCCAAAGAGGAGAAAGAUGCUUCUAAGGAUUCAAGAGACCUAUUUCAUCAACAUAAAACCCGUAGAAGCCACACAUGCUGGGAAUCGGUCCUCCAUAUCAAAGCUGAUCAGGAUGGAUUGACGAAUUUUGUAGCUUG